rnacentral:rRNA from 1 species
GAUGAACGCUGGCGGCGUGCCUAAUACAUGAAAGUCGAGCGAACAGAUGAGGAGCUUGCUCCUCUGACGCUAGCGGCGGAAGGGUGAGUAACACGUGGAUAACCUAUCUAUAAGACUGGGAUAACUUCGGGAAACCGGAGCUAAUACCGAAUAAUAUAUUGAACCGCAUGGAUAAAUAGUGAAAGACGGUUUUGCUGUCACAUAUAGAUGGAUCGGCGCAGCAUUAGCUAGUUGGUAAGGUAACGGCUUACCAACGAAACGAUGCGCAGCCGACGUGAGAGGGUGAACGCACACACUGGAACUGAGACACGGUCCAAGCUCCUACGGUACGCAGCAGUAAGGAAUCUUCCGCAAUGGCCGAAAGCCUGACGCAGCACCGCCACGUGAGUGAUGAAGGUCUUCUGAUCGUACAACUCUCUUAUUCUGGAAGAACAAAUGUUAAAGUACCUAUGCACGUCUUGACGGUACCUAAUCAGAAAGCCACGGCUAACUACGUG